AGAGUUUGAUCAUGGCUCAGGAUGAACGCUAGCUACAGGCUUAACACAUGCAAGUCGAGGGGCAGCAUGUUGGUUGCUUGCAACCAACGAUGGCGACCGGCGCACGGGUGAGUAACGCGUAUCCAACCUACCCUUGUCCAUCGGAUAACCCGUCGAAAGGCGGCCUAACACGAUAUGCGGUUCACAGCAGGCAUCUAACGUGAACGAAAUGUAAAGGAGAAGGAUGGGGAUGCGUCUGAUUAGCUUGUUGGCGGGGUAACGGCCACCAAGGCGACGAUCAGGUAGGGGUUCUGAGAGGAACGGUCCCCCACAUUGGAACUGAGACACGGUCCAAACUCCGUACGGGAGCA
rnacentral:rRNA from 1 species